UACGAGGGGGGCGAGCGUUGUUCGGAAUUAUUGGGCGUAAAGGGUGCGUAGGCGGUUUGAUAAGUCUUGUGUGAAAUCUCUGGGCUCAACCCAGAGUCUGCAUAGGAAACUGUCGGGCUUGAGUAUGGGAGAGGUGAGUGGAAUUUCCGGUGUAGCGGUGAAAUGCGUAGAGACCCGGAGGAACACCAGUGGCGAAGGCGGCUUCCUGGUCUGCGACUGACGCUGUGGCGCGAAAGCUAGGGGAGCAAACGGG
rnacentral:rRNA from 1 species